rnacentral:sRNA from 12 species
AGCCUUCCAGAAGUGCGAAAGCGACCGUACUAGUCCACGAAAGUGGAGGAUAAUACUUCAAAUAGGUGAAAAACCUUGCUUCGUAAAGCUAGACCUGGAGAAGUUAGAGAAGUAG